rnacentral:rRNA from 1 species
GAUCCUGGCUCGGAUUGAACGCUGGCGGCAGGCCUAACACAUGCAAGUCGAACGGUAACAGGAAGAAGCUUGCUUCUUUGCUGACGAGUGGCGGACGGGUGAGUAAUGUCUGGGAAACUGCCUGAUGGAGGGGGGAUAACUACUGGAAACGGUAGCUAAUACCGCAUAAUGUCGCAAGACCAAAGAGGGGGGACCUUCGGGCCGUCUUGCCAUCGGAUGUGCCCAGAUGGGAUUAGCUAGUAGGUGGGGG